rnacentral:lncRNA from 1 species
GCCCGUUAAUAAAUCUUGUUUGCAAAUAAAGGUUUAGUGAAUUGAGUGAUCCAUGAUUCUUUUUUUGAAAAGGCUGUCAUGUCAUAGCAUAUUUAUCGUAUAACGUAGUAUAUUGCGUUUGACACCAGAGAAAUAUAUAUUUGGCUUAGUUAGCAUAUUGGCUGAUGUGGGCCUCAAACCGCUUUGAUGCUUUGUCCCUAGCCCAUCAGAUAUACUCGGCUCACUAAGUCUUGACCAUCAGAUAUAAGAUCUAACAGUCUAAGUAAUUCAUUUGUGUGGAUCAGCGUGGAGCAUCCCCUCGGUACCCCUCAUAUUGCUUUAGUAUAUAAUAGAUUGUUGUCUUAAGAGAAUUAUACAUGAGAAACAUAAUUUUCAUUUGUUGUCUUGUUGUUCCAAUUGCCAUCCACUAUUAAUUUAGGCCUCUCUAAAUCACAAAUGCACUUGAUAUCAACAAUUAUUUGUGAGGAAUAGUUUUUAUAUGUUAGAGAUCCAGUUUAUACCUUUGGAGAGUUUCACUCACCUCUGAAAAAUGCAUACCUUUCUUUUGGGAAAAACCAUGAGUGUAUGUGCAUGCUGCAGAGUUAAAUUAGAAUGGUAGUUGCACUCGAAACUGAAUAGCCAUGAGUGGAUGUGGACAUUUUUUUUUUUGUUUUUGAUCCAUAGAUAUACGGGGGCACACAAGUUCUCUUUUGCUCAUCUUCACAUGAUGAUUUCACCUCGCGAUUUUGUUUUGCAACGAAUCUUCCUAACUGGUACAAGCCCAUAUCUAUAAGCCUGCUACUCACAAGCUGUUUGGUUUUAAGUCAACCUCGUAAAAAUAAUAAGAGGUGGGGCACCCAGAUUUGUUUAUCUUUUCUUUUUGAGAUGGUUAGAACUUUUCACCUGCCUCGAUCUGAGUCUUCCAAGGUGCACCUCAAAUACUCUCUCUGUUUCACAAUACAACGUGUGUAGAUUUUUCUCAUUUGUUUCACAAUACACCUCAUUUUUUCUUGGUAUCCGCACCCAGUCAAUAACUACUCACAUCCAUUUAUUAUUAACCAAUAUGAGUGGUCAGACACUAGAAACGAGAGCUGGCUUGAUCCAAUUGCACAAAACUAUAUGAGGUGUAUUUUGGAAUAGAGUGAGUACAACGAUUCAUUAUUUGAUGGACGACAUGAGGUCACUAUACCAAGACAACCUGAUUAAUUUUUAUCCCACUCAAUUGGUUGACCUAAUGAGAAAUAUGUUAAGCGCUACUGGAAAAUAUAUGACUUCUGCGUUUUACACCUUCCUAUUUUGUAGAGCUCUUCUACUGUACCCCAAAAUUAAUUAGAACCGUCCAUUUGUUUAGAUCUAAGGGCUCUGAUCAUUUGCUACUCCUUGAUACUCUAAUUUGGAGGUAAGGAGUAUUACGAUGGAGUAUUCGCGCACAGGGGUAAACUUGUAAACAAAGAUCGUCAGGUUCGAUCCUCUUUCCCGUCACUCCUCUUCCCUGUUCCCCAUUCUCUGCCCGUCGAUCACUUCUCUGCCGACGCCGUACACCUCCUCCGUGCUCCAUCCGCCGCCCGCCGCCCCCACAGCAGACUGCCUCCCAAGCGCCCUCCGUCGCCGCUAACCGCCUCCCUCCACCGCCGCGUCUGGUGCUGCGGCCUUCCCUCGUGCGCCCGUUCGAGGCCGCGUCUCCUUGACUUCUCCGCCCAGCCUUCCGCCAGAGUUCGUCCACCAGGUAAUAUCUGCUUUGACUACCAUCGACGUCAGCCGCUCGUGCUGCGACUGGCAGAACGCACAACAGUCGACCUGCUAGGCGGCUGCGCUACUCGUGCCCCGUCAAGGUAUUUUCCCUCGGCUACUCCCGACAAAUCGCACAGCAGGCGCGUUGUUGUGAAUAGUGUAUCAGGAGUAGUAAGUAAGAUCUUAAAUACGGACCCAUAUUGCUUGAUUUGGUUUGCAUUUGGAUAGACCAAUAUUGCUUGAUGAGUGGAUUAUGCUCUGUCUUCUUCGUGUUUACAACCUGUCCUUGUAGUGCAAGCAGACAACUGAGGUGGUUGGUGGGCGAUGCAUCAGUGUUCUAUGCCUGCAGAGAGGAUGGCGGGCUUGCUGUUAAGAGGGAGGAAGAUGGCAGCGACGUUGGCUCGCAGUGAGGGGGGAGAAGGACGACGGCGCGCUGUGAAGAGGGAGGAGGGCGCCGCCGUGCCGGCUCUGCGCUCUGUCUGACGGAAAAGCUAAUGAAGAUGAUCUAUUACUUAAUUAUUUUAUUAAUGUGAAAAUGUGAAAUGUCAUAAAUACCCUUCCUCAAUACUCCGUUGAGGCUGGUGGGAGUAAUGGGUACGGUAGAAGUUCUCAUUUUGUAUGACCUAAUUUUUUCAGGAUUCAUUUAUUUAUGUUUACUUUACACAUGCCUCCGUCUGGCUUUGUAUAUGUUCCAGCUUGUAUUGAUUGCAUUAUAAUGCUAGAUUCAUAGAAAAGUAUUUUGCAGUUGCAUAUUUGAAACUAAGUUCAGACCAAUGGCACCAAUACUACACAUUAUGUAUUGUGCAUCUGCCUGUGAUGUUAUAUCUAGCUAGCGCGAUAUAUAAGACCGGACUAUAGUUUUUUAUCCUUGUUGUGCGUGAACUAGCUCCUGUACAUUUACAGAUUGAGCUGGAAAUUCUUAUCUAUUUGCUGAACUUUUACUUUGUAUGAUUAGACUCCAUGUAUGGAGUUGGAAUCAGAUCAACAUUUGUAUAAAGAGGUAAAUGCACCAUCAGUCUAUUAACUUGGCGCGAAUGUGCAGAUUAGUCACCGUACUUGCAAAAUGCUAAAUUCGAGUGUUAUAACUUGGCACGUAUGAGCACGCGAGGUCAAAAAUACGAAUCUGUAGGUUUCGACGCUGACGUGGACAACCACGUGGACAUGCCGCCAUGUAAUGUUUGCAAAUAGCCCCUCCUCUUCUAGUCCCAACAUGUACACAAAGGAGGAGAUACCGGAGGCAAAAUGUUGGGAAUCAUGAUGCUGAGUCGAAUUGUCUUGAGCCAAAAUGUUCGUUGAGUUUGCAUUACUUGCGUCGGGAGAUGUAGGCUUACAUGAUGCUGCGGAGUUAGUUGAACUCGAGGUCGACCUAGUCAAGUGCCGCAAAGUUGGGAAUCGCAGGUGAGAUCAGGCCGGAGAGGUAGUUCGACCAAAGGAGGAGAUACCGGAGACUAAGGAGGUGGCAGUUGUCGGCGUAGGGGAUGUCGCUGACGAAGGAGUUGUUGGCGAGGUCCAUGUACUGCAAGGUAGAGCAGUUGCAGAAGAGCAUCCCCGGGACAGGUCGAGGUAGUAGAGCUCCGGUAGGAGCCCGGUGCGGGCAAGUAUCGCGCCGGAGAGGAGCUUGUUCGUCAGGCUCAGCUGCCUCUCCCCGGCACGCACAGCUCCAUGGGAUCUGCCCAUCCUUGCAGUACUUGCGAUGGGAGAUGCAGGUCGACGUGAUGCGGCGGAGGAGCUUCAGGAGGCGCGGGAGGAACAGAGGCGCCGCCGGGGGUGGUGAAGACGAUGGUCGCGCGCUGCAGCCUGCAGGUGGUCAGCCGCCUCGGGCCUGGGACGGCCUCUGGCUAGGGAUUUGGAGGAGGGAGAAAAUGAAAUCUCUUUUUUUCAUUCGUCGUGAUUUUGCAAUUAACCCCUCGCAUAUUAAUUCAAGGUGUUUUUUGUAAAUACGUCCAAUUGUUUAAAUAAGUCGAAUUGUUUUAGUCCACGUCAGCGUAGAAACAUACGAAUUCGUAUUUUUGACCUCACGUGCUCAUACGUGCCAAGUUAUAACACUUGAAUUUAGCAUUUUGCAAGUACGGUGACUAAUUUGCACAUACGCGCCAAAUUAAUAGACCGACGGUGCAUUCACCUCUUGUAUAAAUAUAACUGACGAUGUUCAUGCACUCAUUAGAACACAGAACAUAAUUGCAUUAGUUCAAAAAACGAGAAAAAUGCUUGGCUACUGCAGAACUUGUUGGUAUCUUCUGGAGAAUUGUGCAAUGAACCUUGUUUUCAGAACAACCUGGCAUCUGACCCGUUUCAGAGCAUACAUGGUCAAUGACUUAAUAUUAUUUGGUUGACGAUGCAGACGGAAGCUGUUGAAAAAAGAGUCGCUUAGCUGAAGUUCUGUAGUAAAGCUCUUCGAAGAGGUAUUUGUUUUCAGAGUUUGGAGUUUUUGGAGGCAACGAGUAGCAACAACUGAUGGGAUGAAGCUAAUGGCAAGGCAGAAAAUGAAGACUAGCUUGAGUGCAUUGCAUGUAUGCCCUAUUAGUCUACUCGAAUAAGACACACCUUGCUGGGAAUUGUUUGAUAUAUUGUUUUCCUAUUAUAUGCUGAACCUUCAUAUUGGGUGGAUGGAUGAAUGAUUCAUGUUACUCGAACAGCAAGUUUGAAUGUUUGAAUUUAUGACACCGGUUGUGGUUAUUUAUUAUUGGAUGUUUUCGUAAUGUUCUCUCCUAAUUAAGAAUCCAGAUUCUCAAGUUCUAUAAUAUAAAUGCUAUAACGUUGGGUUUAUCAAGUUAUGUUACAUGUGGUGUGGUAGUAUAUAACAGGCUGAUUGAACGCCCAUACAUUUAUGGUUCAUUAUUCACGCGAGAAAUUUUGAAUACACAUAUAUAUGAUGCAUGGGAAAAGAGAUAUGUCCCAAAGCAUAGUACUCCCUCCGACCAGAAUUACUUGUCGAAAUAUUACAUGUAUCUAGACGCUUUUUACACAUAGAUACAUCCGUAUUUGGACAAAAUUUGAGACAAGUACCGGUCGGAGGGAGUACUGUAGUUUCUUCGGAAAAAAAAAGUACAGUAGAAGUUGAUCUAGCUACGGAUGAAAGGCUAAAGUGCAAGAUCGGUGCAGAUUAUUAUCAUACUUGAAUCUUGCAUGCAUGAAGCGUACUGACUCCCCGGAAGGCUAAACUGCUAAAUUAGCAUGCAUGUCCUUGCCCAAAGCAAGCCAAGCAGGCGAUCUUCAAGGACUUCCCAGCGCAUUGGUCUAUCAGGCCAAUUCUUGAUCAGAUUGAAUUUUGUCACUUACUCAGGCAGACCCAACUCGACCAAUCACGUCUCAAGGGAGCUACGUACAGUUCCUCAUCGGCUAGCUUGCUCAUAGGGCUAAGAAUCACUCUUGCAUGGCAAGCUCCUACCAUUUCUUGUACUGUAUCAAUAAUCUUCACAGGAGCACAGGCUGCCCACAGCCCACUUUUACUCUCCCUGUGUAUGCAUUGCAUCCAUUCACGCCGCGCGCGUACGUCUUACUUCAUGCAAACUGCGCUCUCUCUGUUUGUUUCUCUUUCUGGUCUGGUCUAUUAAAAGCAAUAAAAAUAAUGCGCCAUGUCAAACUGAAGAUAUCUCAGAUAACAACAUUAGUUAGUUAGAGUUGUUUUGUUUAACAAACUUGUAAUCCCACCGGACCUGAAUAGAUAAAGGUCACGGCUGACCUGUUCAUCAUGAUGUAACCAACUUCUGUAAUCGCCAUGUUCGGCAGUUCAUAUAAAUAUACAGCGGCCCGAGAAAAAAGGUUCCACGCUUCCCAAUUUUACAUGAUAUCAGAGCCAACCUCUUUCACGUCCCUUCCACAGAUUAGAUGGCGUCAACGUCCUCUUCCUCCAUGGGUCUCCACCAAGAAAUCUCGGAGAAGUUAACUCGUGAGAAUUACGUGCUAUGGAAGGCACAGGUUCUGCCCCCGGUCCGUGGGGCAAUGAUGUUCGGCUACCUCGACGACAUCUUAGUCAUGCCGCUGAAGGAGACCGAGAUCUAGAAAGGAGGCCUAAUUAAUUGAGAAAGUUCCAAACUCCUCAUAUGCAUUAUGGAUGGCGCAGGACCAGCAUGUUCUGGGGUACCUCCUGAAUUCAAUCUCGAAGGAGGUGCUGCCUCAGGUGGCUUCCAAGACCACCUCGCGUGAAGUCUGGAAAGCUCUCGAGGGAUUUUCUCCUCGUAGUCCAAGGCGCCCGUCGUCAACAUCAGUAUGACGAUGGCAAACUUGAAGAAAGGCAGCAUGACUGCGGCCGAGUACUUCAGCAAGACGAAGGCGUACGGAGAUGAGCUAGCAUCCGCUGGCAAAACUCUCGAUGAUGAUGACAUGAUGUCGUACCUGUUCACAGGACUCGACAUUGUGUACAACCCACUUGUUACCUAUGUCACGUCUGCUCUUAGCCGUAAUGACAAGGUUUCUGUGAGUGACCUGAUCUAUUCGUAGAUGGUGAAGCUUCGACGCUAGGAUGGAGAUGCUCCAAGGCGUCAACAACAACUUCCACUCAUCGACCAGAGGAGGACGCGGCAAUGGUGGUUAGCUACAACCAACGUGGCCGUGGUGGUGCAUCAAUUCGCGCCGCCCACGUACGUCUUCAUGAAAACUGCGCUCUCUCUGUUUGUUUCUCUUUCUUGUCUGGUCUAAACGUCUAAUGCGCUGGUCUCAGAUCUAGGUAGCACGAGGUUGGCAGGCCAGUAAUGCAAUACGUCUCUGAUCUCUCUGUAUAUAUAUCCCUGUUUGAUUUCCCCAGUUUAAGCCGGGGAGUAGUAGUAGUAGUAGCAGUAUAUACCGAAACAUGAAGAGUUUCAGAUUUUCAGUUUCACGCUAGGAGCUCUGUCUAAACAUCAUUAUUACAGGCCGCAAAUUAAACCCGCGCUUAGGUAGCGUUCAACAUCAGUAGUUCAGUACCACGUACAGGCCAGAAACUGGGCUGGACGGACGGCCCAGCCCGUUACAGAUUACUUCCAGCCAAGGUCCAUUUCGGCAGCAGCCAAAAACGGAAAGGAACUCGAAACGUAAACUCGCGCUGGAGAACCCCUUCCCAAAUCCCAAUCCCAUUCAAAACACUCGCAGCCGGCGGCUCGAUCGUUCCCUUCCCCGGCGGCGAGAGAGCUCUCCCGUACGUUACGUUUCCCCCAAACCCUAACCCUAGCCCCCACCCACCAACUCCUCCUCCCAUCCCCCGCCGCCGCCUAGCUCCCCCAUGGCGCCGUCGCAAUCCCGUCUGACGGCGCUCCCGGACCAGCUGCUGGAGGAGAUCUUCCUCCGCCUCCAAACCCCAGAAGACCUCGCCCGCGCCACAGCCGCCUGCAAAGCCUUCACCCGCUACCUCACCGACGGCGGCUUCCUCGCCCGCUUCCGCCGCCGCCACGCCCCGCCGCUCCUCGGCGUCCUCGACGACGCCGGCCUCCACCCUGCCUCCUCCUCCUCCCCCGCCGCGGCCGCCGCGCUCGCCUUCCCCGGCGCAGACUUCACCUUAUCCUUCCUCCACUCCCACCGCCGUUUGACCGCGCUCGACUCCCGCGACGGCCGGGUUCUCCUCGCCCCCACCUCCGAGCUCGACCCGACUCUCCACGCAUCCGACAUCCGCGCACGCAAUCCGUAUCAUCAAGUUUAUCAGCAUCAUCACCAGCAGCAGCAGCGGCAGGAGUUGCCGCCCCCGGUUUCCACGGAGCUCCUGGUCGCCGAUCCCAUGUACCGCCUCUACGUCCAGAUUCCCGCACUUCCUGACAGCAUUUCACAAGGGGUAAUUUCAGAAUGGAUGGCCCCUUUCCUCCUGCCCCCCACCCAGGAGGAAGAGGCCGCCGCCUUCGCGGAAGGCGGGCCGACGGCGUUCAGAGUGAUGUGGCUUGCACACAAUGACGAAACCCUCUUUGGUUUCGUCUUCUCCUCGAGGACCGGAAAUUGGCAAAAAUGCGUCUCCAAGAGAUGGGAAGAAUUCGGGCUCGACGAACGUUCACCGAGGAGCUGAUUGAGGAAGGCCCGUAUCUCAGGCGCCAUUACGCCUACGGCCUUGUCUACUGGAACAUGAUGUUCACGGAUUGCAGGAUGGUGCUAAUCGUGCUGGACACGCGGGCGGUGAUGGACUUCGACAUCCGUGACCUCGUGCUGGCGAGGUUGACUGCGGGAGAGAUGCAGGACAUCGCCAUCGUGGAGGCCGGGGACGGCAAGCUUGGGUUGUUUGCCAUGCCUAUGACCGAUGAUGAAAGCGGCGGUGUGUCGGAACUCCGGUAUUUCGUCAGGCGGGAAAUAGAUGAGAGGUCUGGAUUGUGGCAUCUUGAGAAGACUAUCCCGCUAGGUUUUGGGAAACUCCAAUCCAUGGAAGCUGCCACGGAGAGGUUUCUGCUCAUUGAAAGGGGCAUAGCCUGGCCACGGGACGCGCCGCCGCCAGCUGAGACGGGAUAUUAUUCACUGGACGUCAAGACGUUUAACCUUGACAAGGUUGAUGGUCUUCAUCCCAACUCCAAUGUUAGAAAGCUCAUCUAUACAAACUUUCCACCGACGUUGUUGUCUUCGCCGACAUUAUGAAGUGGUACGUAAACUAAACUUUUUAUAGCAUAUGCUAGUUAUCAGAUUGCUCAGCUACAUAUGCUUGAUAGUUCAUUAUUACAAGUAGAAAUUGUUGUUUACAUAUAGUGGUUAUUUGUCUUGUCCUUAUGGAAAGCUAAUAAAGAAGAGGAACAUUAUUGUCAUUUGUGUCUUGUCGAUCCAACUAGCAUGGUGUCUAGCCCAAAUCACUCGGAAAAUAUCGGUAUGCAUCGUUAAUAUUUUGACUCUGCAUAGAUAUAUGUAUUGUUGUAUUAUUUCAAAAGCACCAAACAAAUGAUAGGUGUGUCUGUGUGUGUCAUUUGUUGUCCUAUUAGACUAGUAUGAAAAUGAAACUAGCGUCCCAGAUCAUGAGCAUGAUUGGUUAUUAAAAACACAAAAUUAGGAAGGCACUACACAUAUACACUCGAAAAAGGUUCGGAUAAUUUGUCGCUAUAUAGUCAGAGUAAAAAAACAUAUAUCUUGGAAAGUAGAAUCAACUAAUCACACUGCACCCAGAAGCAGAAAGUAUCUGUGUCUUGAAUAUGACACAAUAUUAUUAUUAUGGGGCUUUACAUCGUAGUCCAUAAUUUAUGUUUCACAACACGAAGGUUCAUCAAUAUUUGCACUGAAUUAAUCAAUUGUUUGAGCAGAUAUUAGUUGUGCAUCCGGAAAUAAAGUUUAGAUCACGUGUGAGACGAUGGUCCUUACCUGAGGUGACUGUUCAUGUGUGGUAUAUAAAUCAUGUAUGUUCAUAAAAAUAAAGUUUGCAAGCUGAAUUGGCCAAUCACUUGAUAUAUUGCACCGAUAAGUCAUGUGUACGCCAAGCUAUGUCAGUAGGAAAUUUAUGUUGAAAAUCAUCAUGGGAUGUUAAAGUUUUAUGACUAUGCUAUCGAUACUUGUAUUCAAGUUUAGAUCAUGAGGAAGUCGUUUAGUUUUUGACUUUGUGGCAAUAUUUGAUUAGUACUAAGUGCUUUUCAGUUUCUCUCUACCCAGUUGCACCUACACGAUGUUAAUUAGUAGCCAUAGAUAAAUUUACGAUCAUGUGUUGGUAUUUAGAAUUAUAAUUCUUUUAAUGGCCGUUAAUAGAUCUCGUUUGCAAAAUAAAGGUUUUCGACGAAUUGAGUGAGCUUAGUACUUCAUAUUCUUGUGAUCCAUGAAUUUUUUUUAAUGUCAUGUCGUAGCAUAUUUAACGUACUAACGUAGUAUAUUGCGUUUAACACCAUAAAACAAAUAUUUGGCUUAGUUAGCAUAUUGGGCCGACAUGGGCCUCAAACCACUUUGAUGUUUUGUCCCUAACCCAUCAGAUAUACUCACCUCAUUAAAUCUUGACCAUCACAUAUAAGAUCUCACGGUCUAAAUAAUUCAUUUGUGUGGAUCAGCGUGGAGCCUUCCCUCGGUACCCGUCAUAAUUGUCAUUUGCUGUCUUGCUGUUCCAAUUGCCAUCCACUAUUAACUUAAUUAGGCCUCGUCAAAUCACAAAAGUACUCGACCUCACCAAUUAUUUAUGAGGAAUAGUUUUUUAUAUGUUACAGAUCCAGUUUAUACCUUUGGAGUGUUUCACUCACCUCUGAAAAAUGCAUACCUUUCUUUUGGGGAAAAAAACAUGAGUUUAUGUGCUGCAAUGUUAAAUUAGAAUGAUAGUUGCACUCUAAACUGAAUAGCCAUGUGUGCAUGUGGACUUUUUUGUUUUGUUUGAUCCAUAGAUAUAUGGGGGCAGUACUGUAUGGGGGUACAAAAGUUCUCUUUUGCUCAUCUUCACACCUAUGAUUUCAUCUCGCGAUUUUGUUUUGAAACAAAUCUUCCUAACUGAUACAAUCCCGUAUCUAUAAGCCUGCUACUUACAACCUGUUUGGUUUGAAGUCAACCUCGUAAAAGUAAUUGCAGGCAGGGCACCCAGAUUAAUUUGUUCAUCUUUUCUUUUUUGAGACGGUUAGAACUUUUCACCUGCCUCGAUCAUGAGUCUUCCAAGGUGCACCUCAAAUACAACGAUUCAUUAUAUAGUUGAUGGACGACAUGAGGUCACUACCAAGACAACCUGAUUUUUUUCCCACUCAAUUUAUUGACCUAACAAGAAAUUUUGUUACGCUAUUGGAUGAUAUAUGACUUUUGCAU